GUCCACGCCGUAAACGAUGGGUGCUAGGUGUGGGGGUGUCGACUCCCCCCGUGCCGAAGCUAACGCAUUAAGCACCCCGCCUGGGGAGUACGGCCGCAAGGCUAAAACUCAAAGGAAUUGACGGGGGCCCGCACAAGCAGCGGAGCAUGUGGUUUAAUUCGACGCAACGCGAAGAACCUUACCAAGGCUUGACAUGAUCGAGAAAGCCGUAGAAAUACGGCCCUCCUUCGGGACUCGACCACAGGUGGUGCAUGGCUGUCGU
rnacentral:rRNA from 1 species